UGACGUUAGCUCAGAGGUAGAGCAGCAGCCUCGCGGUUGCUGGCCGCCGGUUCGACUCCGGCACGUCAACCA
rnacentral:tRNA from 1 species